rnacentral:rRNA from 1 species
AGGGAUCAUUGAAUUAUUAAAACCACAAUGUGAACCUCAACGUCCCGUGCCUUGGCUUGCCAGUGGGGCGUUCGGCUUAAAACCCGUUCGCAUCUCACAGCUGGGCGGGCAUUGCUGCCUGCUCAGUGGCGCCUUGGCAUGACUAUACACCAGUGCUAACCACUGAUAAACCAAACUCUGAAGUUGUGAUUGCUAGUAACUGGCAAUCUUAACCAAAGACAACUCUCAACAACGGAUAUCUUGGCUCUCGCAACGAUGAAGAACGCAGCGAAAUGCGAUACGUAGUGUGAAUUGCAGAAUUCCGUGAACCAUCGAAUCUUUGAACGCAUAUUGCGCUCGAGCCCUCGGGCAAGGGCAUGUCUGCCUCAGCGUCGGUUUACACCCUCACCCCUCCCAACUUGUUGGGUGUGUCGGCUUCUCUAGCUGGCCAUUGGGGUGGAUCUGGCUUCCCCAAUCUGCUUUACUGCGGAUUGGGCUGGCUGAAGUGCAGAGGCUCAAGCAAGGACCCGAUAUGGGCUUCAACUGGAUAGGUAGCACCGGCUUCUGCCGACUACACGAAGUUGUUGCUUGUGGAUCUUGCUAGGAGCCAAGCAGGAACGUGUCUUUGGCAUGUCUAAACUUUCGACCUGAGCUCAGGCAAGAUUACCCGCUGAACUUAA